UACGGGGGGGGCAAGCGUUGUUCGGAAUUACUGGGCGUAAAGGGCUCGUAGGUGGCCAACUAAGUCAGACGUGAAAUCCCUCGGCUUAACCGGGGAACUGCGUCUGAUACUGGAUGGCUUGAGACUGGGAGAGGGAUGCGGAAUUCCAGGUGUAGCGGUGAAAUGCGUAGAUAUCUGGAGGAACACCGGUGGCGAAGGCGGCAUCCUGGACCAACACUGACACUGAGGAGCGAAAGCCAGGGGAGCAAACGGG
rnacentral:rRNA from 1 species